ACAGACAAGGAGCUUGCUCCUUUGACGUUAGCGGCGGACGGGUGAGUACCACGUGGGUAACCUACAUAUAUGACUGGGAUCACUUCGCGACACCGGAGCUAAUACCGGAUAAUAGUUCGAACCGAACGGGUCGAUUGUCAUAGUCGAUUUUGCUAUCACAUAUAGAUCCAACGCACGCCGUUUAUUACGCUUACGUUUGGAUAAAGGUUAAACGGCCUUACCCCAAUGGGGCGAGGAAUCACGUAAGCCGGCCCUUGGAGAGGGAGAUUCGGCCACAACCCUGGAAACUUGAAGAACACGGUUCCCAGAAUCUCCUUACGGGAAGGCAGGCAGGUAGGGGAAUUUCUUCCGCCAAUUGGGCGAAAAGCCUGAACGGAAGCAAACCGCCGCGUGAAGUGAUGAAAGGUUCUUCGGAUUCGUAAAAACUUCUGUUUAUUAGGGAAAGAAACAUACGUGUUAAGUAAACUAUGCCACGUCUUGGCGGGUACCUAUUCAGAAAGCCACGGGCUAACUACGUGCCAGCAGCCGCGGUAAUACGUAGGUGGCAAGCGUUAUCCGGAAUUAUUGGGCGUAAAGCGCGCGUAGGCGGUUUUUUAAGUCUGAUGUGAAAGCCCACGGCUCAACCGUGGAGGGUCAUUGGAAACUGGAAAACUUGAGUGCAGAAGAGGAAAGUGGAAUUCCAUGUGUAGCGGUGAAAUGCGCAGAGAUAUGGAGGAACACCAGUGGCGAAGGCGACUUUCUGGUCUGUAACUGACGCUGAUGUGCGAAAGCGUGGGGAUCAAACAGGAUUAGAUACCCUGGUAGUCCACGCCGUAAACGAUGAGUGCUAAGUGUUAGGGGGUUUCCGCCCCUUAGUGCUGCAGCUAACGCAUUAAGCACUCCGCCUGGGGAGUACGACCGCAAGGUUGAAACUCAAAGGAAUUGACGGGGACCCGCACAAGCGGUGGAGCAUGUGGUUUAAUUCGAAGCAACGCGAAGAACCUUACCAAAUCUUGACAUCCUUUGACAACUCUAGAGAUAGAGCCUUCCCCUUCGGGGGACAAAGUGACAGGUGGGUGCAUGGUUUGUCGUCAGCCCCGUGUCGUGAGAAUGUUGGGGUUAAGUCCCGCAACCGAGCGCAACCCUUUAAGCUUAAUUUGCCAUCCAUUAAGUUUUGGGGCACUCUUAAGUUUGACUGGCCGGUGAACAAACCGGAAGGGAAGGUUGGGGGAUUGACGUCAAAUCCAUCAUGCCCCCUUAUGAAUUUGGGCCUAACACACGUGGCUUACAAUGGGACAAUUACAAAAGGGGCAGCGAAAUCCCGCGGAGGUCUAUGCAAAUCCCCAUUAAAGUUUGCUUCUCAAGUUCCGGAAUUGUAGUCCCUGCAAACUCGCAUUACCCUUGAAAGCUGUGUAAUCCCGCUAGUAAUCCUGUAGACUAAGCAUGGUCUCCGGUGUUAAUACCGUUCCCGGGGGUCUUUGGUAACACACCAGCCCCGUCGACCUCACCGCCGGAGAGGUUUGUGAACACCCCCGGAAAACCCGGGGGUGUGAAAUAACCAUUUUAUGGUAAACUUUCUCCCUAGAAAAGUGGGGGAUUAUAAUGUGGG
rnacentral:rRNA from 1 species